rnacentral:rRNA from 1 species
AUCAAGCCAAUAAGGGUACAUGGUGGAUGUCUUGGCGCUGAGAGGCGAUGAAGGACGUGGAAGACUGCGAUAAGCUUCGGGGAGCUGCCAAACAAGCUUUGAUCCGGAGAUUUCCGAAUGGGGCAACCUACUAUAGGUUUAUGCUAUAGUAUCUACACCUGAAUAUAUAGGGUGUAGAGGCGAACGGAGAGAAUUGAAACAUCUUAGUAACUCCAGGAAAAGAAAGAGAAUUCGAUUUCCUUAGUAGCGGCGAGCGAAAAGGAAGAAGCCUAAACCAGCUAUGUGUCAAGCCCUUGUGCGUUGCAUAGUUGGGGUCGUGGGUGUUGCGGUGGCAGUACAAGGACUGCCUGUGAAGUUACAAAUGUAAUUUUUAGCUGAAUAGUACUGGAAAGAAUAACCAUAGAAGGUGAUAGUCCUGUAAGCGAAAAGAAUUACACUUCUAGCGCAAUUACCCGAGUAACACCCGUCUCGUGGAAGCGGGUGUGAAUUUAGGGAGUCCACUCUCUAAGGCUAAAUACUACUCAGCGACCGAUAGCGUACAAGUAGCGCGAGCGAAAGAUGAAAAGAACCCCUGUUAGGGGAAUGAAAUAGAACCUGAAACCGUGUACUUACGAGCGGUGGGAGCACUAUGAUUCUUUAAUAGAAUAAUGUGUGACCGCGUGCCUUUUGCAUAAUGAACCGGCGACUUAUUGUGUAUUGCAGGUUAAGUCUUUAUGGGACGAAGCCACAGCGAAAGCGAGUGUGAAAGCGCGAACUAUAUGUAGUACAUAAUAGACCCGAAACCAUGUGAUCUACCCUUGGUCAGGAUGAAGCGAAUGUAAAAAUUCGUGGAGGUCCGAACGCACUUGCGUUGAAAAGCGAGGCGAUGAACUGAGGGGAGGAGUAAAAGUCUAAUCAAACUUGGUGAUAGCUGGUUCUCUCCGAAAUAGCUUUAGGGCUAGCCUUAUGGCGUGAAUAUGAUGGGGGUAGAGAUACUGAAUAGAUUCUGGGGCCUACCAGGCUACCAAGUCCAAUCAAACUCCGAAUACCAUUAUAUAAGUCAUAGGAGACAGACAUUGGGGGAUAAGCUUCAUUGUCAAAAGGGAAACAGCCCAGACCGACAGCUAAGGUCCCUAAAAUAGACUAAGUGAUAAAGGAAGUGAGAGUGCAAAGACAGUUAGGAUGUUGGCUUAGAAGCAGCAAUCAUUUAAAAAGUGCGUAAUAGCUUACUAACCGAGCAUUCUUGCGCCGAAAAUAUUACGGGACUAAGUUUAUUACCGAAGCUUCGGAUUGUUCGAAUUAUUUAUAAUUUGAACAGUGGUAGGAGAGCGUUCUAUGUUAGGUUGAAGAGAGACUGUAAAGACUCUUGGACGAUAUAGAAGUGAUUAUGCCGGUAUAAGUAGCGAUAAUAUAAGUGAGAAUCUUAUUCGCCGUAAGCCUAAGGUUUCCUGGGGAAGGUAAAUCCGCCCAGGGUUAGCCGGAGCCUAAGUCGAGGCUGAAAGGCGUAGACGAUGGACAACAGGUUAAUAUUCCUGUGCUACCAUAAUAGCGUUGAACAUGGGGGACAGAGGUGUAAGGUUAGCAAGCCUAAUAGACACGGUUUGUUCAAGCCGGAGAUGUUAUUCCAGGAAAAUCCGGAAUGCUAAAACAUCGAUGGUGAGUACGUUGGCGUAAGCCUAUAAGUAACCGGAGCAUCUCUCAAGAAAGCCCUCGAUUGUGAGUUAUUGUGGUAUCCGUACUAAAACUGACACAGGUAGGCAGGGAGAGAAUCCUAAGGCGCUCGAGAGAACCCUCGUUAAGGAACUCGGCAAAAUUACUCCGUAACUACGGGAGAAGGAGUGCCUCAAGUAAAAUUGAGGCCACAGUAAAAAGACCCGGGCGACUGUUUACUAAAAACACAGGUCUCUGCUAAGAUUUAAAAUCAACGUAUAGAGACCGACGCGUGCUCGAUGCCAGAAAGUUAAGGGGAUGGGUUAGUGUUUGAAAAGAUGCGAAGCUCAUAACCGAAGCCCCGGUGAAGGGCGGCCGUAACUAUGACGGUCCUAAGGUAGCGAAGUUCCUUGUCGGGUAAGUUCCGACCCGCAUGAAUAGCGUAACGACAUGGGUACUGUCUCAACGAAGGACUCGGCGAAAUUGUAGUCGUGGUGAAGAUGCCACGUCCCCGCGGCAAGACGGAAAGACCCCGUGAACCUUUACUGUAGCCUAUUAUUGGGUUUUGGUACAAUUUGCGUAGGAUAGGUGGGAGACUUUGAAGUCUCGGUUUUGGCCGGGAUGGAGUCGCCGUUGAAAUACCACCCUUGUUAUGCUAAAAUUCUAACCAAAUGCCGUGAAUCCGGGUUUGGAACAGUGGUAGGUGGGCAGUUUGACUGGGGCGGUCUCCUCCAAAAGAGUAACGGAGGAGUCCAAAGGCUUCCUCAGUGCGGUUGGCAAUCGCACGUAGAGUGUAAGGGCAGAAGGAAGCUUAACUGCGAGACAUAUAAGUCGAGCAGGUGUGAAAGCAGGCCUAGUGAUCCGGUGGUUGUGUGUGGAAACGCCAUCGCUCAACAGAUAAAAGGUACUCCGGGGAUAACAGGCUUAUCGCCCCCGAGCGUCCAUAGCGGCGGGGCGGUUUGGCACCUCGAUGUCGGCUCGUCGCAUCCUGGGGCUGGAGAAGGUCCCAAAGGUUCUGGAGUUCACAGAUUAAAGCGGCACGCGAGCUGGGUUUAGACCGUCGUGAGACAGGUCGGUCCCCUAUCUGUCGUGGGUGUGUGAUAUUUGAGGAGAUCUGUCCUUAGUACGAGAGGACCGGGAUGGACGUACCGCUGGUGUACCAGUUGUCGUGCUAACGGCAUAGCUGGGUAGCUAUGUGCGGAAAGGAUAAAUGCUGAAAGCAUAUAAGCAUGAAGCCUACUCCAAAACUAGAUAUCAUUUUCUUUUAGAAGAGAGACACCUUGUAGACUACGAGGUUGAUAGGCCAGAGGUGUAAGUAUAGUAAUAUAUUUAGCUGACUGGUACUAAUUUGUCGAAAAGCUUGAGUUC